AACGAGGGCGUCGCGCUCACUCUUCCUGCCCAAGUUUAGAUGCUUGCAUGUUUUUCUUUUCAAAUUAUUAUACUGUACCCGAACAUAGUUUUGUUUUAUAAAUUUAGCUAUAAAAAUUGAUGGAGGCGAUCAGUGCAGGGAUGGAGGUGCACCAGGGACUCAUCACUGAGGUGAAUUGAAGACUUGAGUUGAUCAGUAGUUGGGGAUCCAAAGGAGAAGGUUUGUGAAGACUUUAGGUUGUCGAUAUGCUUAUGAAAGUAACUGAAAAACCACCCCACAUACUUCUAGAAGAAAGGUUUAUCUCACUCUUGCACUCAUGUAGGACUUCAAAACAGCUUCAUCAGAUUCAAAACCAGAUAAUUGUCCAUGGCCUCCAACAUAACCAAUAUGUAGCUCCAAAAGUGGUAUCAGCCUGUGCCUUUCUCAAGAAAAUAGCUUAUGCAUGUCAAAUGUUUCUUCAAAUCCCGAAUCCCAAUGUCAUGUUAUGGAAUGCGAUGCUCAGAGGGUAUGCUGAUAACGAGUUGUACAAAGAAGUAAUAUCUUUGUUCAGUCGUAUGAGGAGUGCAGACAUACGACCCAACUGCUUCACUUUUCCUGUUGUGCUCAAAUCUUGUGGGAAGGUUUUUGCAAUAAGAGAAGGUAAGGAAAUGCACUGCUUCUCAAUCAAGCUGGGUUUUAGAUCCAACUCAUUUGUUGGGACAACAUUGAUUGACAUGUAUUCAGGUGGGGGAGAAAUUGGGUCUGCUUAUAAGGUGUUUGGUGAAAUGCUUUUGAGGAAUGUAGUCACUUGGACUUCAAUGGUUAAUGGGUAUAUUUUGUGUCGUGACAUAAAUUCUGCCCGACGCCUUUUUGACUUGACACCGGAGCGUGAUGUCAUCUUGUGGAAUACCAUGGUUUCUGGGUACAUAGAAUUUGGGGACAUGUUGGCAGCACGGAAGCUUUUUGAUGAGAUGCCAAAUCGGGAUGUGAUGUCUUGGAAUACUGUGUUGAGUGGGUAUGCCAAUAAUGGGGAUAUAGAAGCAUGCAAAAAAUUAUUUGAAGAUAUUCCUAAUAGAAAUGUAUUUUCUUGGAAUGGACUGAUCGGAGGGUAUUGCCGAUAUGGCCAGUAUUUUGAAGUUUUGGGAACUUUCAAAAGGAUGUUAACUGAGUGUGACGUGCUUCCUAAUGAUGCUACACUUGUGACUGUGUUGUCUGCUUGUGCGAGAUUGGGAGCUGUUGAUUUGGGCAAGUGGAUACAUGUAUAUGCCGAGAGUAAUGGAUUCAAGGGGAAUGUUUAUGUUGGUAAUGCUUUGAUAGACAUGUAUGCAAAAUGUGGGAUUAUAGAAAAUGCAAUUGAUGUGUUCAAGAGCAUGGAUUCAAAAGAUUUGAUUUCAUGGAACUCCAUUAUUGGUGGCUUGGCAAUGCAUGGGCGUGGAGCUGAUGCCUUACGUUUGUUUUCCCUGAUGAGGAAUGGAGGAGUAAAACCUGAUGGAGUCACUUUCAUUGGUCUUUUGUGUGCUUGCACGCAUAUGGGUUUAGUUGAAGAUGGGUUUUCAUAUUUUCAAUCAAUGGUUGGUGAUUGUGCUGUUGUGCCCCAAAUAGAGCAUUAUGGUUGUAUGGUUGAUCUACUAGCACGAGCUGGUUUUUUAGACCAAGCUGUUGAUUUUGUCGGGAAGAUGCCCAUGGAAGCAGAUGGGGUAAUCUGGACAGCCUUACUUGGGGCGUGUAGGAUUUACAAGAAUGUUGAAGUGGCUGAACUGGCUCUUGAGCGACUUAUUGAACUUGAACCGAAGAACCCUGCAAAUUAUGUCAUGCUUUCAAAUAUAUACGGGAAUGCUGGAAGAUGGGUAGAUGUUGCAAGAUUAAAAGUCGCAAUGAGGGAUACUUGUUUUAAAAAAAUACCAGGCUGUAGUUUGAUCGAGGUCAAUGAUGGGGUAGUUGAGUUCUAUUCCUUAGAUGAGAGGCAUCCUCAGAGUGGGGAAAUAUAUGGAGCUCUGAGGGGAUUAACAAAGCUUUUAAGAUUUUCUGUUUAUGUGACAGAAUGUGUUGAGCUUGAGCUGUGAACUUUAUGACAGAAACGUGUUAUAAUGGAUUGAAAAUUAUGGAAAUAUAUGGAGCUCUGAGGGGAUUGCUGUUAAUAUCAUUUGGUAAUGUGCCAGAACUUGUGGAGCUUGGGCCAUGAACUUCAUGAAAGAAAAUUGUUAUCAAGGACUGAAAAUUCUGGAAAUAUAUGGAGCUCUGAGGGGAUUAGCAAAGCUGUCAAGAUUGUCUGGCUAUGUAGUAGAACUUGUUGAGCUUUAGUCACAAACUUCAUGAAAGGAAGAUUUUAAUAUGUUAUCAAGGAUUUAGAAAAUAGUUGCUCAAUGGAUUAUUGUCUGCUAUUUGCUGGCCAUGAUGUCUACACUGUAUGGUGCUGUGUUGUGUCUACCAUCAAUAGUAGGAAUGGACUUCAGGCACUGAAUAUAUGCAAUGAAGGGCUUUAGAAAAUAGCGCUGUUUGGUGUUCUUGUUUUAUCAGAGAACAGCAUUAAAAAUGCGCUUCCGACAAGAAAUGGUUUUAGAAAAUGCUUUUCCUCCUGUAAUACAUUUAACCGGCCUAAAGAGGAAGGACCUUUUCCUCUGGGGGUAUGAAGUUUUACCUACUCCAGCGCCCCCAAAUAGUCCAAUUUUUCCUCCACGGAGAUAAGGAGCUCAAAAUAUCGGCCGUAUGUUAUUAUUUCAAUUUCCCGAGUGGUCCGAGGAUUUGUCUCAUUGGCUCUUGUGGGAAAAUGAUCCCACAAACAAAGGAACUGCACAGCACGAAAUAAGAGUCUGUUUUUAGAUAACUGUUUUGCAUCACAUGUAAAAGAGAGCUUCAGAUGGCCCUUUAGUUGAUCCUCACGGAAGGCUUGUUGGUGUAACUACUUGUGAGGAGGUGGACGUUAUUCAGUUGACUUAAUUUAUUGGAUUUCGGAGCACUUUGAGAAGUACAGGUAAUCAGGUCUCGAGAAAAAAGGGAGGGGGGGGGAUCACAAGCAGAGAGUCUUGAGCUAUCUACUCUUAGAUCCAGAUUUGGAUCAAUCAUCCUGAAGCCUGCAGAUGGAGGAUUGGAGCAAGAAGCUUUUUAUAUCGAGGCUUUGGCAUGGUUUGAUGAACAAUACAAAGAUGAGAGAGUUCUCCUUGUAGAUUAAAGCCACAACUCCUAGCAUAUCCCAAAGCUUUGCCAUGGCUGAAUUAAAAUGUACAAAGAAUGAAGAAAGAGAGAGAGAGAUGAAGUAAGGAGGGAGAGGGGAGCGGAUUUUGCGCGUGAGAUAAUGGGGCAAACUUUCUUACUGGGGAAGACUCGACCUACCCAUAUUUAAUGUGGGAUAGAGCCUAUCCCAACAAACCCACCGCUGUUACUGCACGUUGGUUAGCAUUGCUGCCCGUCUUGCUGGUUAUUUUAGGCGACUAAUUUCAGUUUCUUCAACUGUGUCCUGGGUCUUGUGACUGUCUAUUUUGCGAUUCUGGUGAGGCUGAAGCGUUAGUAGCAUACUGGAAAGUGGCUUGCGGGGAGCUAUUGUAAGCUUUAGGCUAUAAAAAAGUCAAUAGCCCAUGCAUUUGAUCAUCAGACUUAAAUCCACUUCAAUCGAAUUUCAUUUUGAAGGAGUGCCUUCGACUUGCCUCAAGAAGGUGAAGCCAUUGCCAGCAGACCUAGACGCCCUUUGCCGUUGCUAGUCGAAUCCUAACUCCUUCGUCCUCUGUCCCUCCUUCUCUCGUUGUCGGUUUGGUGUUCUUGACGGCGGUUUGUUAUCUAAUCUUCUUCGAGAUUGCCAAGUCUUGUGGUGCUACAUUUUCUUGGUUCUUGGAGAGGAAGAAGGAUCAAGAUUCUUGCAUUGUUGUUAUCAAGAUUCAGUUUGGCAACUACAGGAGUUUUUAUUAUUUCACAUGCCAAUAAAUCAUUUACUUUAGCGACACAACCUCAAAUCUUAAUAUAAACGUAUACAAGAGCUAUCCGUAAUAAUGAUUUGCAUGAAGAAGCAAUAAAGAUUUUAUGGGUUGAGGAAUGUUGUUUCUUCAA